GCUGGGCGUGGUGGUGCACACCUGUAAUCCUAGCUACUUGAGAGGCUGAAGCAGGAAGAUUGCUUGAGCCCAGGAGCUCAAGGUUACAGUGAGCUAUGAUUGCACCACUGCACUCCAGCCUGGGCAACAGAGCAAGACCCUGUCUCUA
ensembl:misc_RNA Metazoa_SRP Metazoan signal recognition particle RNA